UGAACGCUGGCGGCAGGCCUAACACAUGCAAGUCGAGCGGUAGAGAGAAGCUUGCUUCUCUUGAGAGCGGCGGACGGGUGAGUAAUGCCUAGGAAUCUGCCUGGUAGUGGGGGAUAACGUUCGGAAACGGACGCUAAUACCGCAUACGUCCUACGGGAGAAAGCAGGGGACCUUCGGGCCUUGCGCUAUCAGAUGAGCCUAGGUCGGAUUAGCUAGUUGGUGAGGUAAUGGCUCACCAAGGCGACGAUCCGUAACUGGUCUGAGAGGAUGAUCAGUCACACUGGAACUGAGACACGGUCCAGACUCCUACGGGAGGCAGCAGUGGGGAAUAUUGGACAAUGGGCGAAAGCCUGAUCCAGCCAUGCCGCGUGUGUGAAGAAGGUCUUCGGAUUGUAAAGCACUUUAAGUUGGGAGGAAGGGCAUUAACCUAAUACGUUAGUGUUUUGACGUUACCGACAGAAUAAGCACCGGCUAACUCUGUGCCAGCAGCCGCGGUAAUACAGAGGGUGCAAGCGUUUAUCGGAAUUACUGGGCGUAAAGCCCCGCGUACGUGGUUCGUUUAGUUGGAUGUGAAAUCCCCGGGCUCAACCUGGGAACUGCAUUCAAAACUGUCGAGCUAAAGUAUGGUAGAGGGGGGUGGAAUUUCCUGUGGAGCGGUGAAAUGCGUAAAUAUAAGAAG
rnacentral:rRNA from 1 species